ACACACAUACUAUAAGUAUUCUUACNGAUUUUGUAGCAAACAAGAAACAAUCCCUCACUGAAUGCUUCUCCUUUCCAAUCCUUCCAAGGUAUGAAAGACAAAACUCUANUAAACUGAGCGUGGGAGUUUUGCACGACCCCUAAGAUGGGUUUGCAUCCACGCAGUGCUAUACUAAAGGUAUGUAACUGGGUAGUUGCGUGAGUGUACGUGUGUAUACAUAUACAUAUUUGAAAGGCGGAGAAAGAAUGAAACACGUGUUUGAUACUUUCACAUGUACCCCNCUUCCAGCCAUCCCCGCUAUGCCUACGACUCGAGGUUCUGCCAGCCAGUCACAGCCAACAAACAGCACAUAAGACAGCUUUUUACCCCUCAAGGGAACCUGAUUGUUACAUAUCCACCAAGAGCUUGAAAAGCCAUCAAGAGGAAGAUGCGAAAGGGGGGAGGGCGCUAUAAUGAAAACUAGACUGGCCCGGGUUAUUUAUAACGCCCCACGGAAAGAAGUCGGGGGGAGCUGCUCCCUAAUGGAGAGCUUGGCACAGCGGGCAGGAAGGCUAAGAGGGCGAAGGAAAGCGGCUGAUCUCCCGCUAUUUUCGCUCCUCCUCAAAAGCCCAAAGGCCAACCGGUUUUCCAGCCUCCCCCUUUCAACCGCGGCUACAGAAGCAGGCGGGCGGCGGCAGCAGCGCGGGGGAACAGAUGAUGAACUACGAAGCCGCACGCAGUAACACCUCUCGCAAAGGUGGAGACCCCCACCCCCCCCAAACACACACACACACAGAGAAACAGCCCGGUCCGCCUCAGCUUUCCGUCCUUCUCCCACCCUGCCGUUGUUGUCUGUAUACACGCACGCACACACACACACGCGCGCACGCGACGACGGCGACAGACGCAACGGCUGGACGGACCACGCAAUCUCUCAGUCAGCUCCGGCCGGUCUAUUUCCAGAAAGCAACAUGGGGGAAUCACUGCUUAGGGCAUGUUCCAACACGGCCUUUAAUUAGUUUACAGCCCAUCUUCACUUCCAGCUGGUCCAACAUGAAUUUGCCUUUCCAUAGUUUUUCUGGACUAAAUUACCAAAACCUGGACUACUUUGCAUUGGAAUUAAAUGAGUUCUCAGCCCAUUUCANGUUGGUAGCCUCUUUUACUUUGUGAUGUGAAAAUGCACAAGUAGACUAUUUGGGAGGGGGNGUACUUUUGGGGGGGNAUGCAGAGGGAGACUCCCCAUUUCCUGUCAUCCAGUGAUGGACUCUGUUGUAGGCAUUGUACUUGGGAGGAUGGGCACCACAGCAAGCAG
rnacentral:lncRNA from 1 species